rnacentral:rRNA from 1 species
UGAAGAUGGCGACCGGCGCACGGGUGAGUAACACGUAUCCAACCUGCCGAUAACUCCGGGAUAGCCUUUCGAAAGAAAGAUUAAUACCGGAUGGCAUACGAAUAUCGCAUGAUAUUUUUAUUAAAGAAUUUCGGUUAUCGAUGGGGAUGCGUUCCAUUAGUUUGUUGGCGGGGUAACGGCCCACCAAGACUACGAUGGAUAGGGGUUCUGAGAGGAAGGUCCCCCACAUUGGAACUGAGACACGGUCCAAACUCCUACGGGAGGCAGCAGUGAGGAAUAUUGGUCAAUGGGCGAGAGCCUGAACCAGCCAAGUAGCGUGAAGGAUGAAGGCUCUAUGGGUCGUAAACUUCUUUUAUAUGGGAAUAAAGUUUUCCACGUGUGGAAUUUUGUAUGUACCAUAUGAAUAAGGAUCGGCUAACUCCGUGCCAGCAGCCGCGGUAAUACGGAGGAUCCGAGCGUUAUCCGGAUUUAUUGGGUUUAAAGGGAGCGUAGGUGGAUUGUUAAGUCAGUUGUGAAAGUUUGCGGCUCAACCGUAAAAUUGCAGUUGAAACUGGGAGUCUUGAGUACAGUAGAGGUGGGCGGAAUUCGUGGUGUAGCGG